rnacentral:rRNA from 1 species
CGCGUAGGAAUCUGCCCGGUAGCGGGGGAUAGCCCAGAGAAAUUUGGAUUAAUACCGCAUACGCCCUAAGGGGGAAAGCAGGGGAUCUUCGGACCUUGCACUAUCGGAUGAGCCUGCGUCGGAUUAGCUUGUUGGUGGGGUAAUGGCCUACCAAGGCGACGAUCUCUAGCUGGUUUGAGAGGAUGAUCAGCCACACUGGGACUGAGACGCGGCCCAGACUCCUACGGGAGGCAGCAGUGGGGAAUAUUGCACAAUGGGGGAAACCCUGAUGCAGCCAUGCCGCGUGUGUGAAGAAGGCCU